rnacentral:rRNA from 1 species
AUUGAACGCUGGCGGCAGGCCUAACACAUGCAAGUCGAACGGUAACAGGAAGAAGCUUGCUUCUUUGCUGACGAGUGGCGGACGGGUGAGUAAUGUCUGGGAAACUGCCUGAUGGAGGGGGAUAACUACUGGAAACGGUAGCUAAUACCGCAUAACGUCGCAAGACCAAAAAGGGGGACCUUCGGGCCUCUUGCCAUCGGAUGUGCCCAGAUGGGAUUAGCUAGUAGGUGGGGUAACGGCUCACCUAGGCGACGAUCCCUAGCUGGUCUGAGAGGAUGACCAGCCACACUGGAACUGAGACACGGUCCAGACUCCUACGGGAGGCAGCAGUGGGGAAUAUUGCACAAUGGGCGCAAGCCUGAUGCAGCCAUGCCGCGUGUAUGAAGAAGGCCUUCGGGUUGUAAAGUACUUUCAGCGGGGAGGAAGGGAGUAAAGUCAAUACCUUUGCUCAUUGACGUUACCCGCAGAAGAAGCACCGGCUAACUCCGUG